UACAGACUGAAGUGGUCGAGCAGUCAGUGUGGGUGUGAUAUAACGAACAGUGCAGGAGAGAGAUGAGAGUUAGACAUCAUUCAACAGCCAUCAGAGAGAAAGGCAAGAGGGAAAAGUCUGAAGGAGGAUACAUAUACGAAACAGCGCUGUAAGGAGACUGCAAACCCUGGAGAGGAGCUGGAGAGAAGCACCGAUCAUCCUGAGUGAAAUGCAAAAGCGCUGACAAUGGGUUUCACAGCAUUGCAUAUACUCUGCCUUGUACCUGCAUUUACUUUGACAACACAAGAGUUGGUGGGACUGAGUGUGAGUCCCAGGAUUACUGCAGAUUGUGGCAAACAGGUUACUCUGCAGUGCAAAGUGUCCUCAACUCAAAACGGACUAUCAAUCAAACAUUUAGAGUGGUCCACCACCCAAACGUCUUUAUGCGCUGUGAACAGUGAGGGACAGAUUACACACAACAGAAGUCUAUUUAGUGACUUCCAUUGUGAGUAUGAAGAAGGACAAUUGUCCCUCAUCUUUCAAAAAGCGCAGCCACUGAAGUACCUGUGCAAACUUCGAUCCAACAAGGGGAUCCAUUAUAAAUAUACAACUGUGGAGUUACAAGAGUGUGGUCAGAUCACCGAGGCUGUUUUGACAAGUAAGGGUCCUGCUUGCACCUUCAACGAUGUGUACCCAGACGGUGACGUGCACUGGUUUCACGGCUCUCACAAUCUCUCGGCUGGGUCUACGGAGACCUCCACGGCUAAAAGUGUGGAUGAAGGGGGUCGGCUAAUUAUCCAUAGUUACCUGAAGGAGGGGAAAAGUUCAGAUGUGCCCUACAAUUGCUCCUUGAGGAGCAGCAAAUCUGGUAGAUACAUUGCGAGUGCUUUGGUUGAGAUACCUGAAGACCUGGUCUGGCGUGGAAAAUCUGGAUCUACUUACUCACCUGCCAGUGGAGUCAGGUCACAGGAAACUAUGGGGACACUUUUGUAUAUUUCAGUCUUACUGGCUGUCACGCUGAAAUAAUGAAUUUGCUGAAUUAAAUCCACAUCAUGGGGUGUGAUAAAAUAUCAAGGUGAAGGGAUGCUUAACACUGAUUAAGAACAAUGAGUAAAAUUUAGGUACUGAGAUUUAUGUAUUCUUUUGAAACCCAGGGCAAAGCACUCUCAGUUAAGUAAGUCAUCUUGCGUGGUCCAAAGGUGAAUUAUUCUUCCUUUUAGCACUUGGCUGAAGUGAACAAGGAAAUUACAGACUGCUGAGAGGUGAUAACGAGGGAGUCGAUAAUCAUUACACUGUAUAAAAUACCUUUGUUGUUUUGUUUCGAUGGAGGGUCACAGAUGAGGGAGCAGAGCACAUCGGUUUCAUUAUACUCUUUCAGAAAACAACAAAGACACACAUAGAAACACACACACACACACACACACUUUCAUACAACUGCAAACACUCAGGGAGUUCUUUUGGCUCCUGGUUGCAUUUAGUCUUGAGCUACACACAUUCUGGCCUCGGAUUAUUUUCAGGGGUGUAUAUUUAUUUCUGAAAGAGUGCGAUGAAAAUAUCAGCUGACAGGUGUGUCCACCAUGUGUCUACAGCACAGCUGUCUGAGUGUGUGUGACCGUGAGCACCAUGAAAAUAACAUCUUGAACACAAUACAGGCUUGAAAAGAUGGGCUCUGCUGCAAAUUCCCUUCAGAACCAGUGAAGUUUUUGUGUGAGAAAUAUCAGAAAGCUGAGCACAGGAAACCUCAGUCAUGCAACGACUCUAGUGUUUGUGGUUGGAUGCUGCCCUCUGGUGAACUAGUUGAGAUCAGUGAAACAUGAGGCUGUGGUUGCCGUACACCUUAAGGGAGGGCAUUGGUUUGUUGUGCUCACCGAAUGCAAAGAUGAUAUUUAAAAGCAACAACAGUCGACAGUUUUCACAGGGACUACUUUUCUCUAGAAAGUAGUUCAAAUGAAACCUGUCCACAGUGAGGUGGAUUAUCCAGUGACACGUAGUGAAAAAAAAAAUCAAGCCAGUGCAUAGAGAGGUUAGUUAUCAGAAAUCUGCAAAACUUUAUAUUUUGUUCCUUUUAAUCUGAAAUCUGACCAGGAGUCAGUGUCCUUGGUACAGCAGACACAAGUAAGAAGGGAGCUACAGAUCAUUUCACCUGCUUUGCAUCUUCAACUUGCCCGUCCGUCUCUCACUUCUCAAGUCUUUGCAGCUGUAGCUCGAAGCUAGAGGACAAACUCAGCUCCAAGGCUAAAACUCUGCCUGUUUUUAACAGCUCAGUGCACCCUCUUUGGACAUCUGAGAGCCUUUUCAAGUCAGAAAGACUCUCUGCUAAUGGUGUCACUAAAUCGGCGCUACACAGGGACAGGUUGAGCUUUUAGCAGGACGUUGCUGCGGCUGAGAGCCCGCUGGGUAAAUGAAAACAGGGUCACCUUGACUAUUCAACGCGCACACACACGCACACGCACACGCACGCACACACACACACACACACACACACACACACACACACACACACACACACACACACACACACACACACACACACACACACACACACACACACACACACACACACACACACACACACACAAACACAGAGUUAAAUAUUUGUGUUGUGGAAUAAUGAUGUUUCAAAUGUGCCGUUUAGAGAAAUAUUGCUUUUGGCUUUUUUUUUCUAAAUAUCACUCCUGACAAAAUGAAAUACACUCCACUUAUUCCUCUUUGGCAGUGCAAAAUUAAAGCUAUUUAAAUAAAUGGCCAUAAAUUACAAUAAUAAAUCACAAUGAUUUGUUUUAAAGGGUGCUGUUUGCUUAUCUAUUGCAUUAUGAUACAAUGUGAACACUGCUUGUUUUUGUGUGUACAGUCUUUUUCCCUGUUGAAUGUAAAAAAGUUUUUUAUUUUUUUAAACAAGAAAUUUCAAUCAAUAAGUCGUGGCUUUGCUGAAAAUUGCUCAUCUUCAGAAGAUUUAACAGCUUUUUUGUUUGCUAUUGUUUCUAUAUUUGGGAUUUUCAUUUUCACUGAUGUUGAUGUUUACAACAAAAUCCUAUAACAAUUGCUGGAGGUUUUCAGAUAAUAAAGAAAUUAGUCAAUAGAAAAUGAUUUGCUGGUUGUUUUCUCUACGACAAUAACAGACUGGAGGCAAUAGUUUAAUCAUGUAUAUGAAUGUAUGGUGCAUUCAAAAGGAGGCAGCAUGCUCA